rnacentral:rRNA from 5 species
UAGGGAAUCUUCCACAAUGGACGAAAGUCUGAUGGAGCAACGCCGCGUGAGCGAUGAAGGCCUUCGGGUCGUAAAGCUCUGUUGUUAGGGAAGAACAAGUACCGGAGUAACUGCCGGUACCUUGACGGUACCUAACCAGAAAGCCACGGCUAACUACGUG